UUUAUCUGCCCAAGCUGAGCCUUCUCUUUCACACGCAAAGAGCUUUUCCUCUUUUCUUGUUCACGUCAGAAUUGGGCUGAGAGAAAGGAACCUCGUUCAGCUCCACCCUUCCACGUUGCCAGCAUGCAUAUGGCAACUCCUCCAAGAACAUCAUCUCAGACCUUCAAAAGGGAGAACCCAGGCCAUAAAUCGUCAUUCACCCUUCUCUUCUCACCUUUCCUCUCGUCCCUGGACACAUCAGUAUGUUUGCGUGCCUCGAAACUCCUGAUUAGGGACCUCCGAUCAAAAAACUUUAUUCACCAAAGUUGUUCGUCUAUGUCUCCUCUAUCUAAACUCAAAAUUUCAGCUCCAUUGGAGUCGAUUUGAGUCCUGUACACCCCUCGAAGCGGAAGCUGUUUUGAAACUAGCCUGUUCCGGAUUUCUGCUUGAAUUUCCUCUCUUGCUCUACCCGAAUCCCUCACAUCUUACUUGAGACUGAUACAAACACUUGAUUGAGCGAACUUCUUGGCCUGCGGCUGGACUCGAUCCAAUCAGCUCCCUCAGCUCUCUUUCCUGUUGAAAUUCUCAAGAGAAACUCACCUUUUUUAUUAGUCUUUGUUUGUUUUGCAGGCUGUUGUUGUCGAAGCUUGGGUACGGAGGAUAAUCUUUGGAGGCCAAAAUUUGUUUUGUUUAAAGUUUAUUUUAUUUGGCUUGUUUGAUUUCGUUAAAUUUUUGUAACGUUAUGUAUGGUUGAUGAUGUGUGUGAUU